CAGCUGGGUAAAGUUAGUAGAGGCCUAUAAAUAGAAGCUAUCACUCACAUUUCUUCUCACAAAAAGCCAAACUAGAUUUUAUUCUCUUCUUGCCCAAAGUCCUCUGCCGAAGUCACCUUUUCUACUUCCCUUGUUUCUAAAUCUUCCAUUUGUUUCAUCAAAGCCAACACCAUUAUUCCUAACAAGAUCUCAUAUAUUCUCCUUUACUUCAUCCAAUAUUGUCUCUAGAUCAAAUCAAUACCACACACCAUAAUCAUCAUCUCUCUCCCACACACACCCACACACACGUAUAUAUAUAUAUAUUCUUCAUCAUAUUGAUAUCACCACCAUCAUUUUACUAUUCUGCUAGUUUUAUUUGGAAACUAAGGUUUGUAAUAAGAAAAUUAUUGUUUCUCAAGGAUCACUCUUAUUGCAAUCAAGGCAAGGACUCCACAUUCGAGCAGCUCAACCUUAUCAAAUUACUAUGUGCAGACCCAGGUAUACCUAAGAGUUUAGAAUGUCGGUGGCGAGUGGAACUUUGGAUGCUUGUGUGUGUGAACUCGCUGAAAGCCAUACAACUGGGGUCUAGGGCACUCUGUUUAUUUAUUUAUGCUAUUAAAUUUAUGUUGCAAUUAUUUUAGUUAUUAUUUAUUAUGUCUUUUGUACGAAAACUGGCCAGUUUUAACAUUUCAAGUAUUAAAUAAAAAUGCGACAUUAUGAUUUUUCGCGUUUAAUGCUUGUAAAUAAAAUUAAUAUUUUUAUAAAAGUACGGGCGUUACAUUUAUUAUCCAAAAACAAAAUCCCCACGGAGCAUUUGUUCCAAGUAAAAAAAUCGAGAACACAAGAGUGAGAAACAAAAAGGUCCAUAGGUUGUUCGAAACCAUAAGGGUCUUAAAUACACGAAUAGAGAUUCUUGUCAGUAUUUCAACGACAAAUUGGAAUUUCCUAGAAUAAUGUAAUAAAAGAAUUCAACGUCUAACAAUAUUCAGGGCAACUUAAGGAGCUAAUCAAAACAUUCUCCGCUAAUCAGCAACAGUAUCCUAGUCACAAGCUCAAAACCCUAAUUCUUAAACAACAGAUAUUUUUCCUCCUACCUUAUACCUUGAACAUGAACCAUGAUUCAAAAAAUAACAAGGAUGAAAUCUUACAUAUAGAGGAACUAGACGAUGACUAAGAAUCUGAAUAGAAAUGUGGUCUAGAAGAGUACACGCUGAAGUCAAUUGAGGGUCUCAGGGAAACUCUCUCCACAGCAAGAUGACCCAGACGCUCAAAUCUUACUAGAAUGGUGUUGGUGUGGUCGAUCAAAGAAUCGAUCUCGGAAUUGAAAUCCAUAGUUGUAAUUUCUUGUGGUGUUGGAUUCGCAAUCACUAGGGGUGAAAUAUUUAGAAAUUCUUAAGCCCUAAAUUUUUUAAAGAAGG